rnacentral:lncRNA from 1 species
CUUAUAUGAAGAAAAAAGUCUGUCAAAAUAGGGAUUUGGAAAGGGGAGGGGGAAGCAGGAAGUCUUCCUGUUGGCAUUUAUUAGAAGGGAAAUGAAUGUUUUAUGUUCAGGGGCCCUGCUGGAUGUGCAGUGCUUGGGGACAGUGGUGUGGUGAAAGCCUCCUCACUUCUUGAGUGCAGGGUGCGAAUGUGAUCUGGAAUAAACAAGAAAGGGCUAAAUAUAGAAGCCUCUGGCUCCCAUCCUGCUAUGGCGGCUCUGCCCUCACUGCAGUCCUGGAGGCAGCAAGUUCUGCCUAUUGUUCCGGUCACAUUCUUGUGUCCCACGAUGGGGCCUCUGUGAUGGAAUAAAAUGAAGAGAAACAGAUGGGAAAACAAUAACCCAAGGAACAGGCCCUGAGCUUUGCUGGAAGCUUCCAAAAACCCAUAAAUCCUCAAAUGCAUUUGUGCUGGAUUAGGGAACUGAAGCAAAGCAAGGGCCAAGUACUUGCCUUCCUUUAUCCCAUGUGCUCUUGUUGCACAGAGGCUGCUCUCUAUAGGGUCUCUACCUUGCAACGAAUGCUUGUAGUGGCAACUCUGUUUCCUUAAUCUUUUAAUUCUGGCAACUUCUCCCCUUGUCCUUCCUCUAUAUUUCCUGACCUUUUUGUCUUGCAGGCCCCUGGAUAAAGUGACUGCACAAGGAGCCAGCCCACCUUUCCAUCCUCCUCAUGGACAACAGAGCUGGCUGCAAGCACAACAUGGUGGAACCCUUGCAAGGCAGUGGUGCAGUCUUUCCGAGUUUCUGGAUUCCCUGCAUCUGUGAGGAGCAGAUCUGCUGCCAACUUCAUCGUUGCUGCCAACUUCAUCCCUCUUCCUUCACAGAAGAAAGACUUCUAAGCUUGCCGAUAGUCGCCCAGUCAUGUGGGACAGUGACAGGGACAUAACUGCAGAGAAGUGCAUAUGCUUGUCUCCUGGGAGCCACCACAGCUUUGCAGAAGUGCUCUCAAUAGCUACCAGUAAGUAAGUCUUUAGAGUGUGAAUUUCUUGAGUCAGACACUGUACAACCCAUGCCUUGUUGGGCCUUAAUGAGUGGGAAAUGGACAGUCUGUAAAC